GAGAGACUGUUUCCUCCUCGGCUUCCGCACUCUGAUGAAACAAGCCACCACGGUGGGGAGGCCUGGGCAGCAAGGAAGGGAGAAAGAGGCGUCCAGAGCAUGGCCAGGGAGGAACCAGAGAGCCCCCAGUCUACUGGGCCACAGGGAGCUGAAUCCUGCGAACCAGCACGGGACCCUGGAAGUGGACCCCUCUCCAGCUGAGCCUUGAGACGGUUUCAAUCUGGCUCACCCAAUGACACAACUGAGGCGCAGAGAGGGCAAAUGAUGUGCUCAGAGACACACGAUUGUUUGAUGACAGCAAACUCUAAGAUGCCAUUAAGUGAGACAAGGCACAUAAAGAUGUAAGACCAGGAGCCUGGAGCCUGGCCCCGAGUACCUUUGCAUGUGACACGACCACCGGAACUGAUUUUCUUAGUGUCUCAAGAAGGGGCGGGGGCGGGUGUGGGUUUCAGUUUCUCUACAACUCAGAACACGGGAUCUGAGUUCUUUUUACUGCUGCCAAAAACGCACAUGAACCGCCCCCCUCCCAAGGAACAAUCAGCGCGUCCGGUGAGUGACACAAAAAUCAACGUCCACAGAGGACACGUGGCAGAAGUGCUGUCACGGGGCCACGCAAGCUCCUGGCGUCUGUCUCAUCGUGCUGGCCUCCGACGUCUACGUUGCACUGCAGCCAAAACCCGCUGGAAAAAAGCAUGAAAUUGGAGAAAAGGAAACCGAGAGGGGAGGAUCAAAGGCGGCACCACGGACUUAAAAGCAAUAAAAGGGCUAGCGAGGGAGCGGGGAUGAGGCCACGCGUUACCAAAAUGCCGGCAGGGGUGCAGAAGAAAGGGAGGCGAGGAAGAUAAAGCUAGGGGAAUUUCAAAUCUUGGCUAAAUGUUCAUUAAAUAAUUUGUCACACAUAUUAAGGCCAGAUCGUCACUUCUCCCCCCCCUCUGGAGUCCUCAUUCGGGAACAAAGGCCUAACCAGACUUGAAAUGCUGAAAAGCCAGGCGGAGAAGAUGCCAGGAAGAGAGGCUGUGGCCUCACAGAGCCACGCGUACUUCCCUUGUCUUUGUCUUCACCAAGAAAGGGCUGAUCUUCCCUCAAAGCUAAGUGUGUGGUUGGUGGCUUCAAACAGGCAGCCGGGAGGGCUUGAGAUACGCACCACGGAAACCCGUCAAGUCCCGGCGGCCAUUCUGCGUGUUCCUCGGGCUGGUGGGUGGUGUUUCUGUGCUCAGGGCUCGCGGGGGUAUGAGACCUUCAGGAACAGACCCAGAGCCGUCACUGGGAGGACAGGCAUCGACUCGAGGGGAAGGGAAGUGACCCGUCACUCGCCCGAAGACAUGAUUAUGACAACAAUGAUAAAUAUUUAUUGAGCAUCUAGCAUGUUCUGUGUCGUCCUGCUCAUCAGUUCUCAAUGCGUGUCAGUUGUAACAGUGAUACCACUUAGUGUUUGUUGAGCAUCGAGCACAUUCUAGAUGCAGCGUAUUCCUAAGCUCCUUCAAUCCUCAACAAGAACCCCUGAGGUAGGUCGAACGUUCCAGUUCAUGAAUCUCAAUCAGCUUAGAAAAUGUGCCCAAGAGGUAAGGUGGGAGGGAGAGCCAGGGUCUCACCCAGCUUUACAGCCUGUCUUCCCCACGCCUUCCGGUUCUCUCCUUAGGGUUUCCCUCCACACACACCCCUCUGACAGACCCCUUAUCCGGCACUUGGCCGGGAGAGUGGGGGGCCUGGGUUCUGGUCCCAGCUCUCCUGCGUACUAGCUGUGGGAUGCAGGCCGGCCCCCCUAGCCUCAUCCGCUUCUCUAUCUGCACAUGGUGAACUGCGGUGCUCUGCCCUCCACAGAUAGAGUAAUGAUAAGGAAUGCCUUAAUGACUGUCAUUCAUUAAGCACCUAAUCGUCUUUCAUUUAUUCAUUUACAAAUAUUUACUGAGCAUUUACUUUAUGGACCAGGGAUACAGUGGUGUGAAUGCAAAAACAGCACUUUCAAGAGAGGGAGAGAAAGGCAUUAAACACAGAACAGCACAGAUUAUUUUUCUAAAUUGUGUUUGUUUCCAGUGAUCUCUAGGAGAAUUUCUGGGCGUCCUUCAUUCGUUCAUUCGGCACAUGUUUACGGAGGACUACUGUGUGUCAGACAGUAUUCUGAGAACCAGCCCUUAGGAGGGCACAGAAAGGGAGUCUUGACCACAUUCUGAUCUAAUGCUUCCUUGGGCUGUGAUGUUUGGAUUGAGCUUUGAAGGACGAGUAGAAAGUAACUACACCUGGAGGAAAGGGAGGGUUUUAGACUAAAGGAAGUAUGCUUCAGCAUCCUCGAGAAAGAAGGAGAAUGAGCUCCAAUGAGAUUGAGGUAAAGCUCGCCGCAUAGAAGGGGACCGGACAAGGCCAUGCUCCUUUCAUUCAAUUCUCACGUGCUUUCACGGUGACCCCCUAAGAAAGACAGGAUUCCCACCUGACAGAGGAGAAAAACUAUAGGCACACUCAUUCACCAGAGCCUGCUCCAAAGCCAUCGUGCCAUCCAUUUUCUCUGCCACCAAUCUCACCUCCAACCCUAGAGACACAAAAUGCCAGAAAUGCACUUUCCCAGCCUCCCUUGCACCACGGCUAUGGACAAGCGAUUCUGAACCCUGGCCAGUGGGAGCUGAAGCAAAGCGCUCCAGAAGACAGUUCUGAGAUGGAAUGCUCGGAGAUGGAAUGCUCUCUUCCUUGAUAAAGAAGGGAGGUAUGCAAGGAGGAGUCCCAUCCCUCCCAUUGUGCCUUCAGACCUCAUCACGUAGGAUGCAAUGGUUGCUGCUACUGGAGCCAUCUUAUAAGCAGGAGGGAAAAGCUAACACAAGCACAAAGAAGCUGCCUAAAAGUAGCCAAACACACCCCUAACAGCCCCUGGAUUUCGGGAUACAUGAGAAAAACAAACCAAUAUUAUUCCAAAGACUUUUAAUUGGGCAGUAUUAACUCACAGCCCAAAACAUGAACACUGAUGUAGAAUGUGAACCUCACAAAGGAUGCAUCAUUUCAAAGUUAUAUAAUCACAAGAGGUGGAAACGUUGAGUUUUGAAUACCGUCCUGAUGGUUCUAAAUGCUUUGCUCCUUUUCGCUCUACCAUAUCCCUUGGGCUGUACCUUGAGCAAACACUGUUAACUUUCGAGCUCUGGACGGAAUCAGAGGUGACUAAUAAAACCAAUGCCAAUGAUAAUCCUGGAAAGCAAGCACAACGUGUGAGAUAGCGGCUAUGUGACCUCAGCAGGAAGAGCACUGCCAACAGGUCCUCCUGUGGGGUUCUGCAGGAAAGGUCAAGUGUGGCCCAGCCACGGCGGGGUCGUAGGAGUCUAGUUUUCUAACAUAUCUGGACUGGCAAAGGCAAAGCAGCCAGAGAACUCAACCCUCACUCGGGAGUCCCCCAGCAUUUACAUUAGUGAGGAAUAUUCUGAAAUUUCUACUUUGAAAACUCUAUCUCCUCCUCCCAGCCCAGAAAAAGGCCCUUGCCUUCUCCUCCAAUGCACGGGUAAAGAUUCCAACGGGGCUUUGUCCUUGAUAAUAUCUGGAGUGUAGUCAGCUGCAGGUAUUUAAAAGUGGGGGGAGGGGGGAGGAGAAGUAUUUUUCUAAAACACUAAUUUAAAGAACAAAUCAACAUCUAUUAUCUCCUUCAUUAUGUUUUAAAUUAUACAACUAUAAAUCACCCUGCGGCGGGUCGUUCAAGGGCAGAAUUACCCAGCUUGGCUUUCGCGAAGGUUAGAAGAAUGGCAUCUUGUGCUUUUUCUAGUUAUAAUUUAUAACUUUGCAACAGGACCGGUGGUGCAGAUCCAUCCAUUAGCGGGGUGGCCGCACAUCUGUUAAAACUCAGCCCAAUGACUGCCUCUACACGGCCACAGGAAACGUAACUCAAUCAUUCCAGAAGUUCGACAAACUCGAGCCAUUUUUUAAUGUAAAAUGAUUUGAAAACGCAGCUCCCUAAAACAUCUGCUAAGCUCCUGCUACCCUAACACAUGAUAUUCUUUCUACCGUUACCUGCCAACAUAAAUAUUUGGUCACACAAAACACCCUCAGAGGCACGUGACAGAGCUCAGCUUCAAAUUUACAUACCGAUCCGCAAAGGGCUGGCUUGGACCUAGGAACUCGAGCUAAUGCGUUGUUUACCAGAACUGAAAGUUUACGUGGGGCAAAAAAAGCAAAAGCAAAAAAAAAAAAAAAAAAAAAAAAAAAAAGGCCGAGGGUUAAGUUCAUGAAGGUACUUACUCUCAAGCAUUUUAAAAAGGAAACAAUAACGGCACGAGGAGAUCUACACAGUGGGGACGCUGUGGUGCAUCAGACAAGGCAAAUGUACUUGGGAGGAGCCGGUGAAGGGUCUCAAGGCAACGUGGGUGAGUUCUCUGUGUUCCUUGACUACCAGGGAGGAUAAUCAUUCUAGCAUUGUGUGGAACCGUUGUGAGGAAUUAAAGCAUCACAGGGUCUGGACUAAGGUGCAAAGUCACAUCCUACCUCGGGGCACAGCAGGAGUCUAAAGUCACCAAGUGGCAACGAUUGCCAAUAGCCAAAAUUGGAAAUCUCUUCUAUCACCCAAUAAUACAAUAGGCCUGGUUUUGUGAAUUAAGUUUCUUGGAGAAAUACCAAGGUAUGAGCACUUUAUAUAUCCUUACAGUAUAUAUUCAUGCACACAUAUGCAAAAUACAAUUUUAGAGUAUUUUAAUUGCAUAAAAGAAAGCUAGGGAGCACAGUAGGAGUCUAAAGUCACCAAGUGGCAACGACUGCCAAUAGCCAAAAUUGGAAAUCUCUUCUAUCACCCAAUAAUCCAAUAGGCCUGGUUUUGUGAAUUAAGUUCCUUGGAGAAAUACCAAGGUAUGAGCACUUUAUAUAUCCUUACAGUAUAUAUUCAUGCACACAUAUGCAAAAUACAAUUUUAGAGUAUGUUAAUUGCAUAAAAGAAAGCUAGGGAGACAAGAAAAUAAUGUAUAACAUAGCCAUGGUGGAUGUGACUUCAUUAUCAAAAAGCUCCCACCAAGCUUUAAGAUGUUUCAAGAGGAACUAGAGUCCUGCAUAUUUUUUAAACAAUAUUUUAAAACAAUCCUAUUCCCCGGACGCCUGGCUUGUUCAAUAGGAAGAGCAUGUGACUCUUGAUUUGGGGGUUGUGAGUUCAAGCCCCACAAUGGGUGUAAAGAUUACUUAAAAAAAAUCCUAUUCCCAUUGGUAUGAGUUAUUUUUAUUUUUACACAAGUUGGAGGGAAAGGAAACAAACGCUUCCCCCACAGACUCCUCAAACACUUGUCCUACCUUCCAGACCUCAAGGGGACGCGGUGCCAAAGACACAGCCUUACCAGUAGGGGUCGCUGUGCUGAGAUUAAUCCCUAUGAGUUUCUCAUUAGUGAUUAUUAUACUGCAGGCAGCCAAAAUGGAAAAAUUAAUUAAUUUCAAAGUGAUAAUGCAUUUACAGCAACAAUUAGAAAUGUAUAACUGUAAAAGGGCAACAUUUAAAAGACAGAUUACAUUUAAUAAAGUUGCACAAGAACAUCCAAUUGUAAAAUUACUGAUCUGCAACAAUAUUCCUUAAAGAGGCACUUAAAAUAGCCUGACUCCAUGAAGGGUGACCUAAUUACUGUAACUAAAAUCACCGUAGUCACAGCAAGUCACAGCAAAUAAAAAAGGGACGUUGAUAUUAGAAUACUGCUGUUUAAUACUUAAGGGAGCCAGCUACGGUGGAGAAGCAAAGGCAGGGCUUCCGAGCACAAGGGUGGGCUGUGCUCCUCCAUUCCGUGACCUUGGGCAAUGCGAUGGGUGACCCAGCAACACUCAUGUCAAAAGGAGACACUGUUGGAGUGACACGCAGACACAUCAGUGCAGCACAAACGGCCCCCUGGCGAUGAGGACGCUGCAUUUAUGCUAAGCUUCUUCGUGGGCAUUGAGGAAUCCAGCUUUCACAGGGGGUGACGAUGGGGAUGCGACUAUGUGGCUUAUGUCCAAAAAUAAAUGUGUGUUGAAAAAGGGAGAAGGACACUCCGCAUCCACAAAAAAAAUGUCUUCUCAUGACGGAAGUAGCGUCAAGCCACGUACGGGAGGAUAAAACACAAGGUGACCUUUCCAGUGAGCCUGGUCUGUCCUGCCAGUGACAUAGCCCCAUCAUGCUGAUAUCUCUCCCGCAUACACACAGUCCACACACACACACAGUCCACAUACACACAGUCCUAAAUGUCUAUGUU